rnacentral:rRNA from 1 species
CCUACGGGUGGCUGCAGUUGGGAAUAUUGGACAAUGGGCGAAAGCCUGAUCCAGCAAUCCCGCGUGAAUGAUGAAGGCCUUCGGGUCGUAAAGUUCUUUUAGUGGGGACGAACACAAUGACGGUACCCACAGAAAAAGCACCGGCUAACUCCGUGCCAGCAGCCGCGGUAAUACGGAGGGUGCAAGCGUUGCUCGGAAUCAUUGGGCGUAAAGCGCGUGUAGGCGGCUGGACAAGUCUGAUGUGAAAUCCUGGAGCUUAACUCCAGAACUGCAUC